UGAGUACGAGAUGCUACGGCAUCGAAGCAGUCUAUGUCAUACUUCCAAGAAAAGCUUGCACUGUCAUAAACAAAGAAUGCCUGUACCAUAACCGACACAGGUGGGUAGGUAGAGUAUACUAAGGGGCGCGAGAUAACUCUCUCUAAGGAACUCGGCAAAAUGACUCCGUAACUUCGGGAGAAGGAGUGCCUUAUUUCUAAGGUUGCAAUAACAAGAUCCAAGCAACUGUUUACCAAAAACACAGGUCUCCGCUAAGUCGUAAGACGAUGUAUGGGGGCUGACGCCUGCCCAGUGCCAGAAGGUUAAAGAAGUUGGUUAGCAUUAGCGAAGCUGAUAACUGAAGCCCUGGUGAACGGCGGCCGUAACGAUAACGGUCCUAAGGUAGCGAAAUUCCUUGUCGGGUAAGUUCCGACCCGCACGAAAGGCGUAAUGAUUUGGAUACUGUCUCGGAGAGGGGCUCGGUGAAAUAGACUUGUCUGUGAAGAUGCGGACUACCUGCACCUGGACAGAAAGACCCUAUGAAGGUUUACUGUAACUUGAGAUUGAAAUUGGACUUUAUUUGCGCAGUAUAGGUGGGAGGCGUUGAGAAUAAUCUUGCGGGAUUGUUGGAGCCAUCAGUGAGAUACCACUCUUGUAAUGUUAGAUUUCUAACUUUGUAUCAUUAUCUGGUCAAAGAACAGUUUCAGGCGGGCAGUUUGACUGGGGCGGUCGCCUCCCAAAGGGUAACGGAGGCGCACAAAGGUUUCCUCUGAACGGGUAGAAAUCGUAUCUAGAGUGUAAAGGCAUAAGGAAGCUUGACUGUGAGACCUACAAGUCGAGCAGGGACGAAAGUCGGUCUUAUGAUCUGACGGUGCUGAGUGGAAAGGCCGUCACUCAACGGAUAAAAGUUACUCUAAGGAUAACAGGCUGAUCUCCCCCAAGAGUUCACAUCGACGGGGAGGUUUGGCACCUCGAUGUCGGCUCAUCGCAUCCUGGGGCGGUAGUCCGUCCCAAGGGUUGGGCUGUUCGCCCAUGAAAGCGGUACGCGAGCUGGGUUCAGAACGUCGUGAGACAGUUCGGUCCAUAUCCGGUGUAGGCGUUAGAAUAUUGAGAGGAGCCUUCUCUAGUACGAGAGGACCGAGAAGGACAUACCUCUGGUGUACCAGUUAUCGUGCCAACGGUAAACGCUGGGUAGCUAUGUAUGGAGUGGAUAACCGCUGAAAGCAUCUAAGUGGGAAGCCCACCUCAAGAUAAGUAUUCUCAUC
rnacentral:rRNA from 1 species